CCUGCAUCUCUGAGUGAGGAAAUCUUUCAAUGAAGACGCUGAAGCAACAGGGGUGAGCUGAGAACGGACUUGGUUGUCACGGGCUACAGUCCUCGCAAUAAGAAGGCUAAAUGCAGGAAAAUGUUUGUAGCUUUGCGUGACCCAGAGAGUCUCCCAGCAGAGCCUGGACAGAAGGCAGGACCACACCCUGGACCAGACGUCAGGCCAUCUCAGGAACCACACCCAGCCAAGGGCAAUUUGGAGACACCAGACAGCAUGGCCUUAGAUCGUGGGAAGCCAGAAUAUCCCAAGGAAAACCCAAGGCGGAACAUGAGUAAAGCAGCAGAAAGUCGGAGACGGGGCCAGAUAUGAAGCCAGGACAAUGAAGCCGACACAGCUGACCACAGCAAUGCAAACUGUGUAUCUCAAAAGUAAUAUUUUUUAUCCUAUGUUUCUG